UACGGGAUAAGCGCUGAAAGCAUCUAAGCGCGAAGCCCACCCCAAGAUAAGGUUUCCCACAGGGAGAACCUGGUAAGGCACCUCCGAGAAGAGGAGGUAGAUAGGCCGGAGGUGGAAGCGCAGCAAUGCGUGAAGCCGACCGGUACUAAUAUGCCGAGGCUUUGACGCCUG
rnacentral:rRNA from 1 species